rnacentral:rRNA from 1 species
CAUCGCCUCUUGAUUAAAUAUAAGAGGUCCAGCCUGCCCAGUGACUUACUUAAACGGCCGCGGUACCAUAACCGUGCAAAGGUAGCAUAAUCAUUCGUUCUUUAAAUAGGGACUCGUAUCAACGGCACCACGAGGGUUAUACUGUCUCCCCCUUCUAAUCAGUGAAACUGACCUCCCCGUGAAGAGGCGGGGAUUAUACUACAAGACGAGAAGACCCCAUGGAGCUUUAAACCCAACAAUAAUUUUUUGUCUAAGCAAUUCAUAAAAGCAUAAAAAUUUUAUUGUUGGUUUUGGGUUGGGGCGACCACGGAGUAAAACAAAACCUCCUUGACGAACAGGGUUUUAUCCUAAUCCAAGAGCUACUGCUCUAAGAAUCAAAAAUUUGACAUAACAUGAUCCGGUAACCGAUCAACGAACCAAGUUACCCUGGGGAUAACAGCGCAAUCCAUUUUAAGAGCCCUUAUCAACAAAUGGGUUUACGACCUCGAUGUUGGAUCAGGGUGUCCUAGUGGUGCAGCCGCUACUAAAGGUUUGUUUGUUCAACAAUUAAUACCCUACGUGAUCUGAGUUCAGA